rnacentral:lncRNA from 1 species
UUUCCAUUUUCAUUCCCACCUUUGUAUCCUUUCACUAUGGUACCAUUUUUAGGAUACAUGAAAAUAUGGUAUAAAGAAACGUUUUGAGAGUUUCUAGAUUUACAUUAAUGUUAAUGUCAAUAAUAAAGUCUAAUUUGGUGCCUGGAACUACUAUUCAAUGUGAUGUCCAUUAAAUUUUGCACAUAUAAAUUUAAAUUUUGCACAUCUAAAUAUUUAUAUAGUCUAUAAAAUAGCUGUUGCCUAUAAUUACCCGUAAUGAAUUGAUAUCUAAGUGGUAACCUAGGUAUGUACAUUGACAUUCUUGAGGUUUUCAGUUUUACAGAACACUGAUAUCUAUGGAAUCUAAUAUGGACUUCAUUUAAAGAAAUUCACGGACCAUUCAUGGACAAAAACAUGAAUCAAUUUGAUUUGUGGCAUUCAAAUCGUAGCACUUUGGGAGAGCAUCAAGUACCAAGUUUUUUUGAAGACCAUGGCUUACCAUCAUAAUGCAUCAAGAUUUGAGUCGGAAUAACCUCAUCAAGACUUAAAGUCUCUUCAAAAGCUUCAAGUUUCAUCUGUGUUAAAACUCUCCAUUGAAUGCUGUCACAAAAAUAAAAGCUCUUAGGGACCAAGAUUUAUUAAUAAAUUCCAU